GUCUCAGUGGUACGGUGGUAGCACGCACCUCCGAUAUGGGCGAAACGCGGGUUCGACUCCCGUCUACGAUU